rnacentral:ncRNA from 2 species
AUACUGACUCUGCCUCGCGGUUUCCUGCCCAACAGCAGGAAUGAAAAGGGAACGACAGAGGGAUGGACGCUCCAUCCAAGCUGUGGCUGCCCCCGCAACUGUGAUCGGUGAGUCCGCUGCCUGACAACCACUGGCUUGGUGCCGGGAAGGCCGCAGCGGACGACGACCCGAGAGCCAGGAGACCUGCCACGGGGCGAUGUGAUUG